rnacentral:rRNA from 1 species
UAGGGAAUCUUCCACAAUGGGCGAAAGCCUGACGGAGCAACGCCGCGUGUGUGAUGAAGGGUUUCGGCUCGUAAACACUGUUGUAAGAGAAGAAUGACAUUGAGAGUAACUGUUCAAUGUGUGACGGUAUCUUACCAGAAAGGAACGGCUAAAUACGUGCCAG